GAUGAACGCUGGCGGCGUGCCUAACACAUGCAAGUCGAACGGAGAUUACGGACGGAAGUUUUCGGAUGGAAGACUGUAAUUCUUAGUGGCGGACGGGUGAGUAACGCGUGGGCAACCUGCCCUAUACAGGGGGAUAGCAGCUGGAAACGGCUGGUAAGACCGCAUAAGUCGGCGAGACCGCAUGGUUUUGCCGGGAAAUGAGCAAUCAGGUAUAGGAUGGGCCCGCGUCCGAUUAGCCAGUUGGCAGGGUAAAAGCCUACCAAAGCAACGAUCGGUAGCCGGACUGAGAGGUCGGACGGCCACAUUGGGACUGAGACACGGCCCAAACUCCUACGGGAGGCAGCAGUGGGGGAUAUUGCACAAUGGAGGAAGCUCUGAUGCAGCGACGCCGCGUGAGUGAAGAAGUAUUUCGGUAUGUAAAGCUCUAUCAGCAGGGAAGAUGAUGACGGUACCUGACUAAGAAGCCCCGGCUAACUACGU
rnacentral:rRNA from 1 species